rnacentral:lncRNA from 1 species
GGGCGCUGCAGUUCCCGGGACGGGCCCGCAAUCGACGGUCCGGGCGCCACCCACUCCCCGCUGCCAGCUCGCGCCCCAGCUCCAGCCCGGGGACCUCCGGGGCGCGGGAGCGGAAAAGCAGCCAUGAGACCAAGAGCACUCGAUGGGCACCAAACGUGUCUCAGCAGCACUCUGCGCGGGCCACCCCGCCUUCGCCCGGGAAAGCUCAUUCAAAUACAAAGUGGACACCAGCUCGCCCACCCUCUCAGUCCCCGCAGGCCGCAGAGAAGCUAGGAGAUAAGUCCAAAGAAGCAUCCUUUCUUUCUGCUGCAUUUAUAAUGGGACUCUUCUGCCCCAGGAAAAUGCCACUUCGCUUCACGAGGAGGCAAUUUGUGAAUGGUGGGAAGAAUAAAUAAAAUAACGGGGCUCUGUUUUCUGAUAAACCAAUUUCUCCCCCUAAAAACUCUGUGUACUGAUAUUUUAGAACUUUCACUUUAAUAAAAUGCUUGCCUAACUUUUAAUAUAUAUAUUUUCUUCUCCCUUUCUCUCCAAAUGUGUUACGUUUUCUGCACCACUCUUUUUGUUCACCCAAAUUUAUGCUGGAAUUUUCAUUUUAUGUUCUUAAAUCAUUUACCCUAAUAUGGUUUUUAUGUGAAACCAGGAAUAUAACGUUUUUUGCAUCUGCGAACCUAAGAAAUCAAAUUAAUUUCAUAGACUUUCUUUCUUUCUCAUAUAAGGAUUUACAGAGGAAUUUUCUUUAUUCAUCAGAGAGAAAAGUUAACAAAAG